GAUGAACGCUGGCGGCGUGCCUAAUACAUGCAAGUCGAGCGAACGGACGAGAAGCUUGCUUCUCUGAUAUUAGCGGCGGACGGGUGAGUAACACGUGGAUAACCUACCUAUAAGACUGGGAUAACUUCGGGAAUCCGUAGCUAAUACCGGAUAAUAUUUUGAACCGCAUGGUUCAAAAGUGAAAGACGGUCUUGCUGUCACUUAUAGAUGGAUCCGCGCUGCAUUAGCUAGUUGGUAAGGUAACGGCUUACCAAGGCAACGAUGCAUAGCCGACCUGAGAGGGUGAUCGGCCACACUGGAACUGAGACACGGUCCAGACUCCUACGGGAGGCAGCAGUAGGGAAUCUUCCGCAAUGGGCGAAAGCCUGACGGAGCAACGCCGCGUGAGUGAUGAAGGUCUUCGGAUCGUAAAACUCUGUUAUUAGGGAAGAACAUAUGUGUAAGUAACUGUGCACAUCUUGACGGUACCUAAUCAGAAAGCCACGGCUAACUACGUG
rnacentral:rRNA from 1 species